CUCACUGAAGUCUUUAAUGUUGCCUCAACUUGAGCAUUCGCUUGUGUUUGAAUCAGUAAAGUGCUACUUGUUGGGGCGGUUGAUCCUGA
rnacentral:pre_miRNA from 1 species